rnacentral:rRNA from 1 species
AUUGAACGCUGGCGGCAGGCCUAACACAUGCAAGUCGAACGAGUGGCGGACGGGUGAGUAAUGCCUGGGAAACUGCCUGAUGGUGGGGGAUAACUACCGGAAACGGUAGCUAAUACCGCCCACCAUCAGAUGUGUCCAGAUGGGAUUAGCUAGUUGGUGGGGUAACGGCACACCAAGGCGACGAUCCCUAGCUGGUCUGAGAGGAUGACCAGGCACACUGGAACUGAGCCACGGUACAGACUCCUACGGGAGGCAGCAGUGGGGAAUAUUGGACAAUGGGCGAAAGCCUGGUCCAGCCAUGCCGCGUGUGUGAAGAAGGUCUGCGGAUUGUAAAGCACUUUAAGUUGGGAGGCGUUACCAAAAGAAUAAGGACCGGCUAACUUCGUGCCAGCAGCCGCGGUAAUUC